AGCUCGUGUCGUGAGAUGUUGGGUUAAGUCCCGCAACGAGCGCAACCCUUGUCUUUAGUUGCCAUCAUUAAGUUGGGCACUCUAGAGGGACUGCCAGGGAUAACCUGGAGGAAGGUGGGGAUGACGUAAAAUCAUCAUGCCCCUUAUGCUUAGGGCUACACACGUGCUACAAUGGGUAGUACAGAGGGUUGCCAAGCCGUAAGGUGGAGCUAAUCCCUUAAAGCUACUCU
rnacentral:rRNA from 1 species